rnacentral:rRNA from 1 species
AAAUUGAAGAGUUUGAUCAUGGCUCAGAUUGAACGCUGGCGGCAGGCCUAACACAUGCAAGUCGAGCGGAAACGAGUUAUCAGAACCUUCGGGGGACGAUAACGGCGUCGAGCGGCGGACGGGUGAGUAAUGCCUAGGAAAUUGCCCUGAUGUGGGGGAUAACCAUUGGAAACGAUGGCUAAUACCGCAUGAUGCCUACGGGCCAAAGAGGGGGACCUUCGGGCCUCUCGCGUCAGGAUAUGCCUAGGUGGGAUUAGCUAGUUGGUGAGGUAAAGGCUCACCAAGGCGACGAUCCCUAGCUGGUCUGAGAGGAUGAUCAGCCACACUGGAACUGAGACACGGUCCAGACUCCUACGGGAGGCAGCAGUGGGGAAUAUUGCACAAUGGGCGCAAGCCUGAUGCAGCCAUGCCGCGUGUGUGAAGAAGGCCUUCGGGUUGUAAAGCACUUUCAGUCGUGAGGAAGGCGGUGUAGUUAAUAGCUGCAUCGUUUGACGUUAGCGACAGAAGAAGCACCGGCUAACUCCCGUGCCAGCAGCCGCGGUAAUACGGAGGGUGCGAGCGUUAAUCGGAAUUACUGGGCGUAAAGCGCAUGCAGGUGGUUUGUUAAGUCAGAUGUGAAAGCCCGGGGCUCAACCUCGGAAUUGCAUUUGAAACUGGCAGACUAGAGUACUGUAGAGGGGGGUAGAAUUUCAGGUGUAGCGGUGAAAUGCGUAGAGAUCUGAAGGAAUACCGGUGGCGAAGGCGGCCCCCUGGACAGAUACUGACACUCAGAUGCGAAAGCGUGGGGAGCAAACAGGAUUAGAUACCCUGGUAGUCCACGCCGUAAACGAUGUCUACUUGGAGGUUGUGGCCUUGAGCCGUGGCUUUCGGAGCUAACGCGUUAAGUAGACCGCCUGGGGAGUACGGUCGCAAGAUUAAAACUCAAAUGAAUUGACGGGGGCCCGCACAAGCGGUGGAGCAUGUGGUUUAAUUCGAUGCAACGCGAAGAACCUUACCUACUCUUGACAUCCAGAGAACUUUCCAGAGAUGGAUUGGUGCCUUCGGGAACUCUGAGACAGGUGCUGCAUGGCUGUCGUCAGCUCGUGUUGUGAAAUGUUGGGUUAAGUCCCGCAACGAGCGCAACCCUUAUCCUUGUUUGCCAGCGAGUAAUGUAGGGAACUCCAGGGAGACUGCCGGUGAUAAACCGGAGGAAGGUGGGGACGACGUCAAGUCAUCAUGGCCCCUUACGAGUAGGGCUACACACGUGCUACAAUGGCGCAUACAGAGGGCAGCCAACUUGCGAAAGUGAGCGAAUCCCAAAAAAGUGCGUCGUAGUCCGGAUUGAGUCUGCAACUCGACUCCAUGAAGUCGGAAUCGCUAGUAAUCGUGGAUCAGAAUGCCACGGUGAAUACGUUCCCGGGCCUUGUACACACCGCCCGUCACACCAUGGGAGUGGGCUGCAAAAGAAGUAGGUAGUUUAACCUUCGGGGGGGACGCUUACCACUUUGUGGUUCAUGACUGGGGUGAAGUCGUAACAAGGUAGCGCUAGGGGGAACCUGGCGCUGGAUCACCUCCUUA